rnacentral:lncRNA from 1 species
UUAAUUACAUGUAAACACGUUUAAUUUUUCCUAUGAGGACUUACCUAAUAAAUUUAAAGAAAAACUUCGAUAAUAAAUUAAAAAAUAAUACAAGUAAAAUGAAAAAAUAUAUAUAUAAGAGUACAUUUUUUGUCAUUAAGCAUGAAAAUUUUAUAAGUAAAAGUUGUUUUACUUACAUAAGGUGAUUAUUACAGUGGACCACUUUAACAUAUGGUCCAUAUUGGAGCAUGAUUUUAACUCCUAGGAUUAAUCUUGCAACAGUGAUUCUCCUACGCUAGAUUUUUGUAAAUCUCCAUAUUGGUGCGACGCUCCCAGAAUCGGCGGAUUUCAGAACUUCAGAGUUCAAAUGCGAGGAAUUCGGAAGGAGGCGAAGCUUGUUGAAGACGAAGCGAGAGUUCUCAGGUUUGUUGUUGGCUUAUCGUAGUUGUUCUCGUCGCUGCUCUCUCGGUGGUUUCGUUGGUGAGAAGUAGCGGGGAAGUGUUUGAGUGGCUGGCGAAGCUUGUCAAAGAUGAAGCGAUAGUCAAAGUCUGUUUGAAGAGGUGACGACGAUGCCGGUUGAAACUAGGGUUUUGGGAUUUGGGGAAGAAGAUGGCGACAACGAACAGUGACCGCAAAGAUUGUUGGGGGAAAGUUGCGGAUCCAGUGUAAACUGUCUCACAGUAAUAAAUAAAUCCAACGAUUCAAAAUUAUUGUUCAUAAUCAACCACUUAUCAAAGUCAUCCCUGUAAAAUUAGCCUGAAAUAAGAAUAUAAUUUGGAUGCAUCAGAGUUUGAAGUUUACUCAAGGUGGAAAUUUGUAUAUAUGACUUUUGU